CAAACGUUGACUUAUUGUCAUGUCAUCUACAUGGGAAUUCACUGGACCAAGCCCUGGUUUACUCACAACCAGCCAGUAUUUAAGUCAAAGUACCACAGCUGCCAGAGUAAAUACAGACUGUGACAUUACAAUAACUGGACAAGAGCAUCUGUACAAGGAUGAAGUCAACACAGGCAAUGAUACUGAUGCUUUUUGUUGCAUCAGUCUUUUCAAAACCAUUUCCUUUGCGCAGAGGAUCUGAUUCAUCAGAGUCUGUGCAGUCAGGAUCCAGUUCAGAGGAAAAUGAUUCUUUGAAUUGUCAGUUUCCUUUGCGCAGAGGAUCUGAUUCAUCAGAGUCUGUGCAGUCAAGAUCCAGUUCAGAGGAAAAUGAUUCAAAUUCUGAAUCAAACGAGUCUGAAUCAAGUGAUUCUGAUUCUUCUGAGGAAGUCAUUGUGCCAACAACACGCGCUCCAACUAGCACCACAGCAAAACCACCAACCACAACAGAAAGAAGCACCACCUGUACUUACAGGGGUGACAAUAACUGCUAAUCUGCUAAUAACUUGCAAUAUUGCUGUUUAACCAUAUUUUAAUGCAAAAUGAAUGUACAAAUAACAAUGUACAACUGAUUAAUGUGCUUUGAAAAGAAUGAUACUAAUGAAUGAUUUAACUAAUAAAGAUUAAAUGUGCAUGUCA